AAAACAUAGCCUAUAGUAAAAAUUUUAGGUGAAUUUUGCCCAAUGUAAUAAAAUAAAUGGCCGCAGUACUUUGACUGUGCUAAGGUAGCAAAAUAAUUUGACUUUUAAAUGAAGCCCAGUAUGAAAGGAAUAAUGUUAUAGAGUUGUCUUUAUAAAAGAUUAUAAAAUUUAAUUAUUUGGUGAAAACUCCAAAAGAAAAAUAUUAGACGAGAAGACCCUUAGAAUUUUAAGAAAAUGUAAUAAUUUUUACCAUGCUUUUUGUUGGGGCGACAAAGUAUACAGAAAUAAACUUAUACAACUUACUCUUUUCACUAUAUACCUAUUUAAAAUAACAAAGAAAAUAAUUACCUAAGGGAUAACAGCAUUAUAAAUUCAUUUUGUUUGUGACCUCGAUGUUGGAUUAGGAACUAUUGUGGUAAGAAAUUACAAUAGAAGCUUCUGUUCGAAGUUUUACACCUACGUGAUCU
rnacentral:rRNA from 1 species